rnacentral:misc_RNA from 1 species
UCCGGUUUGUCACCGGCAGUCUCCCUAGAGUGCCCUUGCGUAGCAACUAGGGACAAGGGUUGCGCUCGUUGCGGGACUUAACCCAACAUCUCACGACACGAGCUGACGACAGCCAUGCAGCACCUGUGUUCGCAUUCCCUUUCGGGCACACCCACCUCUCAGCAGGCUCUGCGACAUGUCAAGGGUAGGUAAGGUUGUUCGCGUUGCGUCGAAUUAAGCCACAUACUCCACCGCUUGUGCAGGCCCCCGUCAAUUUCUUUGAGUUUUAAUCUUGCGACCGUACUCCCCAGGCGGCACGUUUAACGCGUUAGCUUCGCCACAAAAGGGGUCGAUUCCUCUUACAGCAAACGUGCACCGUUUACAGCUAGGACUAC